rnacentral:lncRNA from 1 species
GGGUUUCAUCAUGUUGGCCAGGCUGAUCUCGAACCCCUGACCUCAAGUGACCUGCCCGCCUCAGCCUCCCAAAAUGCUGCAAUUACAGGCAUGAGCCACCGCGCCCGGCCCUAAUACACCUUUUAACCUAAAAUUUCAGGACUUUCUUUACUUAGAAAAUUAUAUACACAUAUAUAGCUGUGAUUGUGCCACUGCAAUCCAGCCUGGGCGACAGAGUGAGCCCUUGUCUCAAAAGAAAAAAAAAGUUUGGUAUAUAAUCUUCCAAUCCCUUUCUAUGAAUUUAAAUGUUUAUUUUCUACCUAGUAAUCUUAUUUUUUUUAAUUCUUUAUUUCCUAGAUAAUGUUCAUUGAACCUUUUUGUAUUGAGAAAUUUUAAGGCACAUUUAAAAAAUAUAUUCUAACCAGGCACCGUGGCUAUCUUAGCACUUUAGGAGGCUGAGGCGGGUGAUCAGUUGAGGUCAGGAGUUCAAGACCGGCCUGAUGGUGAAAACCCUGUCUCUACAAAAAAUACAAAAAUUAGCCGGGCACAGUGGUGUGACCCUGUAAUCCCAGAUACUGGGGAGGCUGAGGCAUGAAAAUUGCUUGAACAUGGGAGACAGAGGUUGCAGUGAGCCAAGAUUGCACCACUGCACUCCAGCCUGGGCGACAGAGUGAGGCUCUGUCUCCAAAAAUAAUAAGAAGAAAGAGAGAGAGAGAGAAACAAACAAACAAACAGAGGCAAAAUUAAUAUAAGUAGCAUUUUUUGUUGUGGUUGUUGUUUUCUUCCUGAGACAGAGUUUUGCUCUUACGCCCAGGCUGAAGUGCAAUGGCCAUGAUCUCCGCUCACCACAACCUCCGCCCCCAGGGUUCAAGCGAUUCUCCUGCCUGAGCUGGAGAUUACAGGCACCCACCACCACCACGCCCAGCUAAUGUUGUAGUUUUAGUAGAGACAGGGUUUGGCUAUGUUGGACAGGCUGGUCUCGAACUCCUGACCUCAGGCGAUCCACCCACCUCGGCCUCCCAAAGUGCUAGGAUUAUAGGCCUGAGCCACUGCACCCAGCCCCGUUUUUUUUGUUUGUUUGUUUGUUUUUUUUUUUUUUUUAUUUUUAUUUUUUAUUUUUUAUUUUUUAUUUUUAUUGAUCAUUCUUGGGUGUUUCUCGCAGAGGGGGAUUUGGCAGGGUCAUAGGACAAUAGUGGAGGGAAGGUCAGCAGAUAAACAAGUGAACAAAGGUCUCUGGUUUUCCUAGGCAGAGGACCCUGCGGCCUUCCGCAGUGUUUGUGUCCCUGGGUACUUAAGAUUAGGGAGUGGUGAUGACUCUUAACGAGCAUGCUGCCUUCAAGCAUCUGUUUAACAAAGCACAUCUUGCACCGCCCUUAAUCCAUUUAACCCUGAGUGGACACAGCACAUGUUUCAGAGAGCACAGGGUUGGGGAUAAGGUCACAGAUCAACAGGAUCCCAAGGCAGAAGAAUUUUUCUUAGUACAGAACAAAAUGAAAAGUCUCCCAUGUCUACUUCUAUCCACACAGACCCCGCAACCAUCCGAUUUCUCAAUUUUUUCCCCACCCUUCCCGCCUUUCUAUUCCACAAAACCGCCAUUGUCAUCAUGGCCCAUCCCCAAUGAGCCGCUGGGCACACCUCCCAGACGGGGUCGUGGCCGGGCAGAGGGGCUCCUCACUUCCCAGUAGGGGCGGCCCGGCAGAAGUGCCCCUCACCUCCCAGAUGGGGCGGCUGGCCGGGAGGGGGGCUGACCCCCCCACCGCCCUCCCGGACGGGGCGGCUGGCCAGGCAGAGGGGCUCCUCACUUCCCAGUAGGGGCGGCCGGGCAGAGGCGCCCCUCACCUCCUGGAUAGGGCGGCUGGCCGGGCGGGGGACUGUUCCCCCCACCUCCCUCCCGGACGGGGCGGCUGGCCGGGCAGAGGGGUCCUCACUUCCCAGUAGGGGCGGCCGGGCAGAGGCGCCCCUCACCUCCCGGACGGGGCGGCUGGCCAGGCAGGGGGCUGAUCCCCCCACCUCCCUCCCGGACGGGGCGGCUGGCCGGGCGGGGGGCUGACCCCCCCCACCUCCCUCCCGGACGGGGCGGCUGGCCGGGCAGGGGGCUGACCCCCCCUCCCCCCUCCCGGACGGGGCGGCUGGCCGGGCGGGGGGCUGACCCCCCCACCUCCCUCCCGGAUGGGGCGGCUGGCCAGGCGGGGGGCUGACCCCCCCACCUCCCUCCUGGGCGGGGCGGCUGGCCGGGCAGAGGGGCUCCUCACUUCCCAGUAGGGGCGGCCGGGCAGAGGCGCCCCUCACCUCCCGGACGGGGCGGCUGGCCAGGCGGGGGGCUGACCCCCCACCUCCCUCCCGGACUGGGCGGCUGGCCGGGCGGGGGGUUGACCCCCCCACCUCCCUCCUGGACGGGGCGACUGGCCGGGCAGAGGGGCUCCUCACUUCCCAGUAGGGGCGGCCGGGCAGAGGAGCCCCUCACCUCCCGGACGGGGCGGCUGGCCGGGCGGGGGGCUGACCCCCCCCACCUCCCUCCCGGACGGGGUGGCUGCCGGGCGGAGACGCUCCUCACUUCCCAGACGGGGUGGUUGCCAGACGGAGGGGCUCCUCACUUCUCAGACGGGGCGGUUGCCAGGCAGAGGGUUUCCUCACUUCUCAGACGGAGCGGCCGGGCAGAGACACUCCUCACCUCCCAGACAGGGUUGCGGCCCAGCAGAGGCGCUCCUCACAUCCCAGACAGGGCGGUGGGGCAGAGGUGCUCCCCACAUCUCAGACGAUGGGCGGCCGGGCAGAGACGCUCCUCACUUCCUAGAUGGGAUGGCGGCGGGGAAGAGGCGCUUCUCGCUUCCUAGAUGGGAUGGCGGCCGGGCAGAGACGCUCCUCACUUUCCACACUGGGCAGCCAGGCAGAGGGGCUCCUCAUAUCCCAGACGAUGGGUGGCCAAGCAGAGACGCUCCUCACUUCCCAGACGGGGUGGCGGCCGGGCAGAGGCUGCAAUCUCGGCUCUUUGGGAGGCCAAGGCAGGCGGCUGGGAGGUGGUUGUAGCGAGCCGAGAUCACGCCACUGCACUCCAGCCUGGGCACCAUUGAGCACUGAGUGAACGAGACUCCAUCUGCAAUCCCGGCACCUCGGGAGGCCGAGGCUGGCGGAUCACUCGCGGUUAGGAGCUGGAGACCAGCCCGGCCAACACAGCGAAACCCCAUCUCCACCAAAAAAAAACGAAAACCAGUCAGGCGUGGCGGCGCGCGCCUGCAAUCGCAGGCACUCGGCAGGCUGAGGCAGGAGAAUCAGGCAGGGAGGUUGCAGUGAGCCGAGAUGGCAGCAGUACCGUCCAGCUUUGGCUCGGCAUGAGAGGGAGAGGGAGACGGGAGAGGGAGAGGGAGACGGGAGAGGGAGAGGGAGACGGGAGAGGGAGAGGGAGACGGGAGAGGGAGAGGGAGAGGGAGACGGGAGAGGGAGAGGGAGACGGGAGAGGGAGAGGGAGACGGGAGAGGGAGAGGGAGACGGGAGAGGGAGAGGGAGACGGGAGAGGGAGAGGGAGACGGGAGAGGGAGAGGGAGACGGGAGAGGGAGACGGGAGAGGGAGAGGGAGACGGGAGAGGGAGACGGGUGUUUGUUUGUUU